AAAGGGCUGCAGUAUUUUGACUGUACAAAGGUAGCAUAAUCAUUAGUCUCUUAAUUGGUGACUUGUAUGAAAGAUUGGAUGAAAUAUAUACUGUCUCUUAUUUAUAUUAAGAAUUUAAUUUUUUAAUUAAAAAGUUAAAAUAAAUUUAAAAGACGAGAAGACCCUAUAGAGUUUUAUAUUUAUUUUAAUUGAGGUUAUAUAUUUAAGUAAUAAUUAAAAUUAUUAUAAAUAUUUUGUUGGGGUGAUAGAAAAAUAAAAAUAACUUUUUUUAAAUAAAAUCAUAAAUAAAUGAAUAAAUGAUCCAAAAAUUUUGAUUAAAAGAUUAAAUUACCUUAGGGAUAACAGCGUAAUUUUUUUUUUUAGUUCAAAUAAAAAAAAGAGUUUGCGACCUCGAUGUUGGAUUAAGAUAAAAUUUAUAUGCAAAAGUAUAAAA
rnacentral:rRNA from 1 species